CUCAAUGAAGAUUACAUGAAACUUUAGAAACAGUCUGAAGAAGCGAGCGUCUCUGCUUCCUUUGGUGUGUGCUGUGUUUGAUUUGAUGUGAAAGAGUGUGCACUAGAAGUCAUGUUACUGUAGUGCUCUCGGUGUGCAGGAGAAGAUUCACAGCUCUUAAAAACAAGUAGCCGACACCAGUUUCCCAAUGGCAGAAAACAACUUUCCUCCUCUGCCUGGCUUCAUUCCUCUGAAGCCGUGCUUCUACCAGGAUUUUGAGGAGAUUCCUGACCAGCACCGCACCAUGUGCAAGAGACUCUACCAUCUGUGGAUCUGUGAGUCUGGAAACACAGAAACCAACCUUAAAUAAUAAUCAGGUCUAAUUCACAGAGAAUCUGCUUGGA